GGGCCCGUAGCUCAGUCAGGAUAGAGCGGCGGCCUCCUAAGCCGUAGGUCGUGGGUUCGAAUCCCACCGGGCCCGCCA
rnacentral:tRNA from 5 species